rnacentral:rRNA from 1 species
UACGGAGGGUGCAAGCGUUAUCCGGAUUCACUGGGUUUAAAGGGUGCGUAGGUGGGCUGGUAAGUCAGUGGUGAAAUCUCCAAGCUUAACUUGGAAACUGCCGUUGAUACUAUCAUUCUUGAAUCUCGUAGAGGUAAGCGGAAUAUGUCAUGUAGCGGUGAAAUGCUUAGAUAUGACAUAGAACACCGAUGGCGAAGGCAGCUUGCUGGACGAAUAUUGACACUGAGGCACGAAAGCGUGGGGAGCAAACGGG